rnacentral:rRNA from 1 species
UACGUAGGGUGCGAGCGUUAAUCGGAAUUACUGGGCGUAAAGCGUGCGCAGGCGGUUUUGUAAGCCAGAUGUGAAAUCCCCGGGCUUAACCUGGGAAUGGCAUUUGGGACUGCAAGGCUUGAGUGCGGCAGAGGAGACUGGAAUUCCUGGUGUAGCAGUGAAAUGCGUAGAUAUCAGGAGGAAUACCGAUGGCGAAGGCAGCUCGCUGGGACGGUACUGACGCUGAGGAGCGAAAGCGUGGGGAGCAAACAGG